rnacentral:rRNA from 1 species
AUUGAACGCUGGCGGCAGGCCUAACACAUGCAAGUCGCGCGAGCGGCGGACGGGUGAGUAAUGUCUGGGAACCUGCCUGAUGGAGGGGGAUAACUACUGGAAACGGUAGCUAAUACCGCAUACCAUAAGAUGUGCCCAGAUGGGCUUAGCUAGUAGGUGGGGUAACGGCUCACCUAGGCACCGAUCCCUAGCUGGUCUGAGAGGAUGACCAGCCAAACUGGAAAUGAGACACGGUCCAGACUCCUACGGGAGGCAGCAGUGGGGAAUAUUGCACACUGGGCGCAAGCCUGAUGCAGCAAUGCCGCGUGUGGGAAGAAGGCCUUCGGUUUGUAAAGCACUUUCAGCGGGGAGGCGUUACCCGCAGAUGAAGCACCGGCUAAAGAAGGGCCAGCAGCCGCGGUAAUUC